UGCGUAGGCGGAAUGAUAAGUUAGUGGUGAAAGCCCCCGGCUUAACCGGGGAACUGCCAUUAAUACUGUUGUUUUUGAGUAUAGUUGAAGUAGGCGGAAUGUAUCAUGUAGCGGUGAAAUGCUUAGAUAUGAUACAGAACACCGAUAGCGUAGGCAGCUUGCUAAGCUAUAACUGACGCUCAGGCACGAAAGCGUGGGGAGCAAACA
rnacentral:rRNA from 1 species